rnacentral:rRNA from 1 species
UACGUAGGGUGCAAGCGUUAAUCGGAAUUACUGGGCGUAAAGCGCGCGUAGGCGGCUUUGUAAGUUAGAGGUGAAAGCCCGGGGCUCAACUCCGGAACUGCCUUUAAGACUGCAUCGCUUGAAUCCGGGAGAGGUGAGUGGAAUUCCGAGUGUAGAGGUGAAAUUCGUAGAUAUUCGGAAGAACACCAGUGGGCGAAGGCGGCUCACUGGACCGGUAUUGACGCUGGAGGUGACGAAAGCGUGGGGAGCAAACAGG